GAUGAACGCUGGCGGCGUGCCUAAUACAUGCAAGUCGAGCGAACGGACGAGAAGCUUGCUUCUCUGAUGUUAGCGGCGGACGGGUGAGUCACACGUGUAUAACCUACCUAUCAGACUGGGAUAACUUCGGGAAACCGGAGCUAAUACCGGAUAAUAUUUUGCACCGCAUUGUUCAAAAGUGAAAGACGGUCUUGCUGUCACUUAUAGCUGGAUCCGCGCUGCAUUAGCUAGUUGGUAAGGUAACGGCUUACCAAGGCAACGAUGCAUAGCCGACCUGAGAGGGUGAUAGGCCACACUGGAACUGAGACACGGUCCAGACUCCUAAGGGAGGCAGCAGUAGGGAAUCUUACGCAAUGGGCGAAAGCCUGACGGAGCAACGCCACGUGAGUGAUGAAGGUCUUCGGAUCGUAAAACUCGGUUAUUAGGGAAGAACAUAUGUGUAAGUAACUGUGCACAGCUUGACGGUACCUAAUCAGAAAGCCACGGCUAACUACGUG
rnacentral:rRNA from 1 species